AUUGAACGCUGGCGGCGUGCCUAACACAUGCAAGUCGAGCGGUAACAGGUGUAGCAAUACAUGCUGACGAGCGGCGGACGGGUGAGUAACGCUUGGGAAUCUGCCUAUUAGUGGGGGACAACCCGGGGAAACUCGGGCUAAUACCGCAUACGCUCUACGGAGGAAAGCCGGGGACCGCAAGGCCUGGCGCUAAUAGAUGAGCCCAAGUCGGAUUAGCUAGUUGGUAGGGUAAUGGCCUACCAAGGCGACGAUCCGUAACUGGUCUGAGAGGACGACCAGUCACACCGGAACUGAGACACGGUCCGGACUCCUACGGGAGGCAGCAGUGGGGAAUAUUGGACAAUGGGCGAAAGCCUGAUCCAGCGACGCCGCGUGGGUGAAGAAGGCCUGCGGGUUGUAAAGCCCUUUCAGUGGGGAAGAAAAGCCUCGACCUAACACGUCGGGGUCUUGACGUAACCCAUAGAAGAAGCACCGGCUAACUCUGUGCCAGCAGCCGCCGUAAG
rnacentral:rRNA from 1 species